GAGUGCGCAGCUUUGUGGUCUUAGUUUUGCAAAAGCUAGUGAGAGACUUUUAGUCUCCGCAUUUU
rnacentral:tRNA from 1 species